UUUGAUCCUGGCUCAGAUUGAACGCUGGCGGCAGGCCUAACACAUGCAAGUCGAACGGCAGCACAGAAGAGCUUGCUCUUUGGGUGGCGAGUGGCGGACGGGUGAGUAAUGUCUGGGAAACUGCCCGAUGGAGGGGGAUAACUACUGGAAACGGUAGCUAAUACCGCAUAACGUCGCAAGACCAAAGUGGGGGACCUUCGGGCCUCACACCAUCGGAUGUGCCCAGAUGGGAUUAGCUAGUAGGUGGGGUAAUGGCUCACCUAGGCGACGAUCCCUAGCUGGUCUGAGAGGAUGACCAGCCACACUGGAACUGAGACACGGUCCAGACUCCUACGGGAGGCAGCAGUGGGGAAUAUUGCACAAUGGGCGCAAGCCUGAUGCAGCCAUGCCGCGUGUAUGAAGAAGGCCUUCGGGUUGUAAAGUACUUUCAGCGGGGAGGAAGGCGGUGAGGUUAAUAACCUUGCCGAUUGACGUUACCCGCAGAAGAAGCACCGGCUAACUCCGUGCCAGCAGCCGCGGUAAUACGGAGGGUGCAAGCGUUAAUCGGAAUUACUGGGCGUAAAGCGCACGCAGGCGGUCUGUUAAGUCAGAUGUGAAAUCCCCGGGCUUAACCUGGGAACUGCAUUUGAAACUGGCAGGCUUGAGUCUCGUAGAGGGGGGUAGAAUUUCCAGGUGUAGCGGUGAAAUGCGUAGAGAUCUGGAGGAAUACCGGUGGCGAAGGCGGCCCCCUGGACGAAGACUGACGCUCAGGUGCGAAAGCGUGGGGAGCAAACAGGAUUAGAUACCCUGGUAGUCCACGCCGUAAACGAUGUCGACUUGGAGGUUGUGCCCUUGAGGCGUGGCUUCCGGAGCUAACGCGUUAAGUCGACCGCCUGGGGAGUACGGCCGCAAGGUUAAAACUCAAAUGAAUUGACGGGGGCCCGCACAAGCGGUGGAGCAUGUGGUUUAAUUCGAUGCAACGCGAAGAACCUUACCUGGCCUUGACAUCCAGAGAACUUAGCAGAGAUGCUUUGGUGCCUUCGGGAACUCUGAGACAGGUGCUGCAUGGCUGUCGUCAGCUCGUGUUGUGAAAUGUUGGGUUAAGUCCCGCAACGAGCGCAACCCUUAUCCUUUGUUGCCAGCGAUUCGGUCGGGAACUCAAAGGAGACUGCCGGUGAUAAACCGGAGGAAGGUGGGGAUGACGUCAAGUCAUCAUGGCCCUUACGGCCAGGGCUACACACGUGCUACAAUGGCGCAUACAAAGAGAAGCGACCUCGCGAGAGCAAGCGGACCUCAUAAAGUGCGUCGUAGUCCGGAUUGGAGUCUGCAACUCGACUCCAUGAAGUCGGAAUCGCUAGUAAUCGUAGAUCAGAAUGCUACGGUGAAUACGUUCCCGGGCCU
rnacentral:rRNA from 1 species